GACGAACGCUGGCGGCGUGCUUAACACAUGCAAGUCGAACGGAAAGGCCCUGCUUUUGUGGGGUGCUCGAGUGGCGAACGGGUGAGUAACACGUGAGUAACCUGCCCUUGACUUUGGGAUAACUUCAGGAAACUGGGGCUAAUACCGGAUAGGAGCUCCUGCUGCAUGGUGGGGGUUGGAAAGUUUCGGCGGUUGGGGAUGGACUGGCGGCUUAUCAGCUUGUUGGUGGGGUAGUUGCUUACCAAGGCUUUGACGGGUAGCCGGCCUGAGAGGGUGACCGGGCACAUUGGGACUGAGAUACGGCCCAGACUCCUACGGGAGGCAGCAGUGGGGAGUAUGGCACAAUGGGCGGAAGCCUGAUGCAGCAACGCCGCGUGCGGGAUGACGGCCUUCGGGUUGUAAACCGCUUUCGCCUGUGACGAAGCGUGAGUGACGGUAAUGGGUAAAGAAGCACCGGCUAACUACGUG
rnacentral:rRNA from 1 species